AAGUCUUUACGGAGAAAGCUUUAUGCACCAUUGGAUGAGCCUGCACUUGAUUAGUUUGUUGGUGGGGUAAUGGCCUACCAAGACUGUGAUCAAUAGCUGAUUUGAGAGGAUGAUCAGCCACAUUGGGACUGAGACACGGCCCAAACUCCUACGGGAGGCAGCAGUGGGGAAUCUUGCACAAUGGAGGAAACUCUGAUGCAGCGAUGCCGCGUGAGUGAAGAAGGCCUUUGGGUUGUAAAGCUCUUUCGUCGGGGAAGAAAAUGACUGUACCCGAAUA
rnacentral:rRNA from 1 species